rnacentral:sRNA from 2 species
AUUUGAUAUCGGCCAAAUCUCAAUUAAUUGAGAACGGAGGACCCAUUAUAUUGGGGUUAAUACUGCAUUUGCAGUAAGGAUGAGAUACUCUUUCGCCAUCCUACCCGUCAGCUAACUUCGUCGGCUAAAGCGAAGGAGGUC